rnacentral:rRNA from 1 species
AUGCCGAUGGGGACCUUGCCGCCGGCGCGCCCGAGCCGCGUGCGGUGGUUUCCGGAGGGGCUCCUCAUGGUGGUGGUGAUUGGUUCGCUGCUGCUGAUCGAAAUCAAGCUGGAGUCCUCGGAAAUAAAGCUCGCGGGUGUCCCAGAUCUGGAGCUCAAGCUCCUUCUUCCCCACUUCUUCUCGAGCUGCCAUGGAGGUGGACUGGAAGAAGCGGGAGGAAGGGGAUUUAGUUGCUCUAUCCUUUCUGCGUGUCCUUGGAGCCUAAGUUUUGCAGCAAAUGGUGGGGGAUCUCGGUGCAAAGAGCAUCAGGAGGUUCUCGCCACUGCGCCGCUGCACCUUCUGGUCGAAAGGCGACCACUCGGAGUUCCGGCGACGGCGUCUGGCUCCUCUAUUUCCUCCUGGCCGUCGAGCCAUAUGGGAGGCAGUUUACUAGGUUCUUCGUCUGGUACUUCAACUGUCUACCUCCGGUUGUGCGCUGGUGGUGCUGUAGCCAUUCCUCUGCCCCAAGUGGUUUCGUCCCCGGUGGUGGUGGGAUCGGGCCAGGAUCGAAGACGGCGAAGAGGACUCGAUUGCUUUUCAGUUUUGUUGUCUGGGGUACUAUCUACAAAAAUGUCUGGCUUGGACUGUAAUUUUCUCUUUCUGUUGGGCCUUUAUGUAAGAUGUUGCAUGCUUAUCUAA